GAUGAACGCUGGCGGCGUGCCUAAUACAUGCAAGUCGAGCGAACAGAUAAGGAGCUUGCUCCUUUGACGUUAGCGGCGGACGGGUGAGUAACACGUGGGUAACCUACCUAUAAGACUGGGAUAACUUCGGGAAACCGGAGCUAAUACCGGAUAACAUUUGGAACCGCAUGGUUCUAAAGUGAAAGAUGGUUUUGCUAUCACUUAUAGAUGGACCCGCGCCGUAUUAGCUAGUUGGCAAGGUAACGGCUUACCAAGGCAACGAUACGUAGCCGACCUGAGAGGGUGAUCGGCCACACUGGAACUGAGACACGGUCCAGACUCCUACGGGAGGCAGCAGUAGGGAAUCUUCCGCAAUGGGCGAAAGCCUGACGGAGCAACGCCGCGUGAGUGAUGAAGGGUUUCGGCUCGUAAAACUCUGUUAUUAGGGAAGAACAAAUGUGUAAGUAACUGUGCACGUCUUGACGGUACCUAAUCAGAAAGCCACGGCUAACUACGUG
rnacentral:rRNA from 1 species